CCUACGGGGGGCUGCAGUGAGGAAUAUUGGUCAAUGGGCGGAAGCCUGAACCAGCCAAGUAGCGUGCAGGAUGACGGCCCUACGGGUUGUAAACUGCUUUUAUACGGGAAUAACGCGCCUUACGUGUACGGCUCUGCAUGUACCCUAUGAAUAAGGACCGGCUAAUUCCGUGCCAGCAGCCGCGGUAAUACGGAAGGUCCGGGCGUUAUCCGGAUUUAUUGGGUUUAAAGGGAGCGCAGGCCGGCUGUUAAGCGUGCUGUUAAAUGUCCGGGCUCAACCCGGGCCUUGCAGCGGGAACUGGGGGGCUUGAGUGCGCGGAAGGCAGGCGGAAUGCGUGGUGUAGCGGUGAAAUGCUUAGAUAUGGCGAAGAACCCCGAUUGCGAAGGCAGCUUGCUGCGGCGGAACUGACGCUGAUGCUCGAAAGCGCGGGUAUCGAACAGGAUUAGAUACCCUGGUAGUC
rnacentral:rRNA from 1 species